CGAGUGGCGGACGGGGUGAGUAAUGUCUGGGAAACUGCCUGAUGGAGGGGGGAGUAACUACUGGAAACGGUAGCUAAUACCGCAUAACGUCGCAAGACCAAAGAGGGGGACCUUCGGGCCUCUUGCCAUCGGAUGUGCCCAGAUGGGAUUAGCUAGUAGGUGGGGUAACGGCUCACCUAGGCGACGAUCCCUAGCUGGUCUGAGAGGAUGACCAGCCACACUGGAACUGAGACACGGUCCAGACUCCUACGGGAGGCAGCAUG
rnacentral:rRNA from 1 species